rnacentral:lncRNA from 1 species
UCUUGGCUUGUAUGGAUAUAAGGUUGAGAAAUCCCAGAAGAACCUAUCUGGGCCUCUGAGACUGAAGGAAACACAGCUCAAGUCCUCAGGAACAUAAGAAUUGGUGGUUAGUUCAGGUACCGCAAGGAUCCAUUUAGCCAUGGAAAUGAAUGAUGGGCCUUCAGGCAGGGAAAACACCAGGGACUUCAUGAAAUUUUCCUCUGCAGAAAUGGAUUACAAAUCAACUCAGGGGUUUGAUAGAAUUCUCUCUAAAAUAGCAUUCCCUAACCCAAGAAUCUGGGGAAAUUUACUGUGGAAUUCUCAGGAGUCACAAUCCAUAGAACAACCUCCUCUUGUGAAAAUUCAUGACAUCCAUCAACAAGUCUGGAUUCUUCUGGAUGGGACACUUAGAACAACUCCCUAUGAAGAUAAUGUGAACCCAGAGAGACUUCACUAAAAUCUGCCAUGGACUCACCAGAGACCCCCUAUAAACCCUUUGUGGUGUAAUAUGAUUGUUGCCCAAUGUAAUUAAGUAAGUAUAUAGCUUUGGGAGUCAGGAGACUUAAGCACUGGACAGCCACCUACUCCUCCCAACUUCUGUAUUUCUGUUGAGGAAAUCUCUAUCCUUCCAGUCACCUGAGUUCAUAAUCUAUAAGGAUUCUCAGUACCCAUCAUUCCACAUUCAAUUGCCACAUUUUGUGGAUUCCAACUCCACAACAUUUCUGUCUUCUAUCCUUAUUUCUUCAAUCCCACAGCCAUCACCCUUGUUCAGACUCUCAUCACCUCUCACUGGGAAUAUUAUAGUAAUCUCCUAACUCACAAAUUCUUAGCCAUUUUUGCAUAAUGGAUGUUUUUGGUGAUAUCAUUAAGUCUAUGGACCCUUUAUCAGAAAAAAAGUUAUUUUAAAUAAUUGAAGAAAAUGCCAAAUUUCAGUUACGGUUCAGUAAAAUAAAAACUGCUAUUUUUUCUAUACA